GUAAAGCCGUUUCUAUAUAACAAAAGCCAUCAGCAACACAGAACUUUCCUUUAAGUCUGUUUUCCUUGAAGUCUAUUUUCAUGAGCACGAGGAUGUAAAAAUUGCCUGCCCACGAGCAUACUGUGGAAAUGUGGAAUUUUCACCUUGACCGGCCCAGAGUCUCAGUGACAUCAAUCAGAUCAUGUCCCUUCGCAGCUCCAAACCCUCCAGCAGCGUCCCAAACCACACUUAGAGUAAGACCCUCCCCUUGGACCCUAUGUGAUCGGGUCUCUUGCCACCCCUCCCGCCUAAUUUCCCCUAUUCCCCCUGCUUAGUCUGCUCCGGCUGCAGUGAUUUCCCUGCCGCUCCUCGCCCAGCCCUUACCAUGCAUUCAUUCAUUCACCAAACAAACAUUGCUGGGCACCUCUGAUGCCCUGGGCCCUUUUCCAGGUGCUGGGGAUGUGGCAGACAGCUGAACAAAUUAGCAGACAUCACUGUCCUAUUUGGACAUACAUCCCAGUAGGGGGGUGAAGUAGAUAAUCAACAAAAUGGAUACAUCCCUUAUAGAGGGUAUUAGCAAGUGAUGAGAGCUAGGGAGAAAAAUGAAGCUGGGAAGAGGACAUAUGGAGGGGGUGCCAUUUUCAAUACAAUGGUCAGGGAAGGUCUCCCUGAGAAAGUGACCCCUGAGCAAAGACUUGGAGAACAGUACAAGGAAGGAGAGAGGUUAGAGACAGGCAGCCAUCUGAACAACUCUUCCCAAGAGUUUUGUUGGGUAAAGUGGAAUGGAGGGAAAAGUGCCACUAAGAGAGAGUUUAAAAAAAAAAAUUUUUUUUUUAAUACGGGAAAUGGUACUGCCUGUUUCUAUGCAGAUGUGAAUGAGGUAGUGGCCAGGGAAAGGAGAAUUGCUAAUAUAGGAGAGAGAGAGGAGGAUUUGGGGAGUGGCAUGCCUGAGAAGCAAAGGGGGGCUGGGCUCCCCUGCACAUUUCUUCCAUGGUAAUAAAGAGCAAGGAUUUGGGCAAUAAUCUGAUGGGUAAGUAUGUAAGGUGUUCUCAUCUUGGAGUGGUAGGUAGCUCUUCUGAUUAAUUUCCUCAGCGGGAUAGGAGGUAAAGAGAGUUAGCUGAGAGUGAGGCCAGGGAGUUGUUGCUGGGAACUGGCCGUCUAGGGGAAUGAGACAGUGAAUGGGCUGGAGAAGCAUUUGUAAUGGAAGCAUGAAGCUUCCUCUGUGCUCCCCACCCCAGAUCCUGGGCCUGAAUUGCUACGAGGCCAGCCAGCAUGGGGCAUGUGUCUCUCCAGAGGAGGUUCAGCUGCACGGAUGUGGGUGUGGAGUAGGUGGAGAGUUGGGUCUAACCAGGGCUGGCUUUUGCCAAGUGAGUGCAACGUAUCUAGAGUGGGCAAGAGAGUUGCGGUCUGUCUGCCUAGAACCUGCUCCCCAGAUGUCCCCGUGACUCCUUCACUUACAGUCCUCAGGUCUCCACUCAACACUUACUCCCCUGGGAGUCUGGAUGCCCCCCUAUCCAUCCCCAUCCCUACCUGCCACCGCAGUGAACGGCUAUCUCCUCAUCAGGAUGCCAACUUCACAAGGCCACAGGUCUUUGCAUAUUAUGUUCAUCGCUAUAUCCCAGGAACCUAGAACAGUGCCUGGCACUGUUCCCCAAAUGCUUGAUGGAGAAACAGAGGCUCACAGAGGUUAAGUAAAUUGCCCAAGGACGCACAGCUGAAAGGAAGGACUUCCCUGGUGGCGCAAUGGUUAACAAUCUGCCUGCCAAUGCAGGGGACACGGGUUCAAUCCCUGGUCCUGGAAGAUCCCACAUGCUGUGGAGCAACUAAGCCUGUGCGCCACAACUACUGAGCCUGCGCUCUAGAG